rnacentral:sRNA from 1 species
UUGACAGCCCUGGAGAGGGGAGUGAUCGUCUCAGCCACAGAACAGGUAGAACAUGGACACCUGCAAUGCAUGCUCAGAUGUCUCAUCUCUGUCCUGGAGGGAGCAUCUCUCAGGAUGAAAGAGGAGUUCACUCUCUAUGAGCCGUUCAGUCCUUGGCAUCC